rnacentral:rRNA from 1 species
UACCAGCACCCCGAGUGGUCGGGACGAUUAUUGGGCCUAAAGCAUCCGUAGCCGGUCUUGCAAGUCUUCCGUUAAAUCCAGCUGCUUAACAGAUGGGCUGCGGAGGAUACCACGAGGCUAGGAGGCGGGAGAGGCAAGCGGUACUCAGUGGGUAGGGGUAAAAUCCAUUGAUCUACUGAAGACCACCAGUGGCGAAGGCGGUUUGCCAGAACGCGCUCGACGGUGAGGGAUGAAAGCUGGGGGAGCAAACCGG